UGAUCAGCCACCACCGGGACUGAGACACGCCCGGACUCUACGGAGGCAGCAGUGGGGAAUAUGGACAAUGGGGGAAACCUGAUCCAGCCAUGCCGCGUGUGUGAAGAAGCCUUUUGGUUGUAAAGCACUUUAAGCAGUGAAGAAGACUCUUCGGUUAAUACCCGGAGACGAUGACAUUAGCUGCAGAAUAAGCACCGGCUAACUCUGUGCCAGCAGCCGCGGUAAUACAGAGGGUGCAAGCGUUAAUCGGAAUUACUGGGCGUAAAGCGAGCGUAGGUGGCUUGAUAAGUCAGAUGUGAAAUCCCCGGGCUUAACCUGGGAACUGCAUCUGAAACUGUUAGGCUAGAGUAGGUGAGAGGGAAGUAGAAUUUCAGGUGUAGCGGUGAAAUGCGUAGAGAUCUGAAGGAAUACCGAUGGCGAAGGCAGCUUCCUGGCAUCAUACUGACACUGAGGCUCGAAAGCGUGGGUAGCAAACAGGAUUAGAUACCCUGGUAGUCCACGCCGUAAACGAUGUCUACUAGUCGUUGGGUCCCUUGAGGACUUAGUGACGCAGCUAACGCAAUAAGUAGACCGCCUGGGGAGUACGGCCGCAAGGUUAAAACUCAAAUGAAUUGACGGGGGCCCGCACAAGCGGUGGAGCAUGUGGUUUAAUUCGAUGCAACGCGAAGAACCUUACCUGGUCUUGACAUAUCUAGAAUCCUGCAGAGAUGCGGGAGUGCCUUCGGGAAUUAGAAUACAGGUGCUGCAUGGCUGUCGUCAGCUCGUGUCGUGAGAUGUUGGGUUAAGUCCCGCAACGAGCGCAACCCUUGUCCUUAGUUACCAGCGGGUUAAGCCGGGAACUCUAAGGAUACUGCCAGUGACAAACUGGAGGAAGGCGGGGACGACGUCAAGUCAUCAUGGCCCUUACGACCAGGGCUACACACGUGCUACAAUGGUAGGUACAGAGGGCAGCUACACAGCGAUGUGAUGCGAAUCUCAAAAAGCCUAUCGUAGUCCAGAUUGGAGUCUGCAACUCGACUCCAUGAAGUAGGAAUCGCUAGUAAUCGCGGAUCAGAAUGCCGCGGUGAAUACGUUCCCCGGGCCCUUGUAC
rnacentral:rRNA from 1 species